UGCUGGGAGGGAGAGGUGAGGGUGUACACAGAGUGACAUCACUUCAGAGAGCUAGGGUAACAGUUUCAUGGGUGGUUGAUGAUGUGGCUGUGAGGACAGACAGUGGCGGGUGGGUGGGCUGUCUUUUGGGCGGGGGCCUUGGCUCUCUCCAGGCCUCAAUUGAUGGAAUUUUCUAGAAGGGGUAUCAGCGCGGUCUACAGGAAUGCACGUUUAUCUGCUUCCCCGUUUAACUCUGCGGUGGUAACUGAUGAAUGGAUGUCUUCUACCUCGCGUCCUGAGAGGUCUCCUCAGAUCUGUCCAGUGGAGCAAGGGCACUCACUUCCUACAAACCAGCUCUCCUUGUGGCAUCUGGGCAGAAGGCCAGCCUGGUCUACACAGAGAGACCCCCGUCUCAAAACAAAAAGAAGAGGUCCGGGUUGGGAGGCUGCAGGCUUCAGACCGCCCGGGCAAAGGGACCGUGAGGGCAGCGGCUGGGGUCCGCCCCCGGCGGCGGCGCCGCGCGCGCCCUGUGGAGCAGCUGGGCGGGCGGCCG
rnacentral:lncRNA from 1 species